GAUGAACGCUGGCGGCGUGCCUAAUACAUGCAAGUCGAGCGAACGGACGAGAAGCUUGCUUCUCUGAUGUUAGCGGCGGACGGGUGAGUAACACGUGGAUAACCUACCUAUAAGACUGGGAUAACUUCGGGAAACCGGAGCUAAUACCGGAUAAUAUUUUGAACCGCAUGGUUCAGAAGUGAAAGACGGUCUUGCUGUCACUUAUAGAUGGAUCCGCGCUGCAUUAGCUAGUUGGUAAGGUAACGGCUUACCAAGGCAACGAUGCAUAGCCGACCUGAGAGGGUGAUCGGCCACACUGGAACUGAGAAACGGUCCAGACUCCUACGGGAGGCAGCAGUAGGGAAUCUUCCGCAAUGGGCGAAAGCCUGACGGAGCAACGCCGCGUGAGUGAUGAAGGUCUUCGGAUCGUAAAACGCUGUUAUUAGGGAAGAACAUAUGUGUAAGUAACUGUGCACAUCUUGACGGUACCUAAUCAGAAAGCCACGGCUAACUACGUG
rnacentral:rRNA from 1 species